rnacentral:rRNA from 1 species
CCUAACCUUUGAGAUCGGGAUAGCCCUGAGAAAUCAGGAUUAAUACCGGAUGUGGUCACGACAAGGCAUCUUGAUGUGAACAAAGGCGCAAGCCGCUCAAAGACGGGCUCGCGGCUUAUUAGCUUGUUGGUGGGGUGAUGGCCUACCAAGGCGACGAUGAGUAGCUGGUCUGAGAGGACGAUCAGCCACACUGGGACUGAGACACGGCCCAG